rnacentral:rRNA from 1 species
AUUGAACGCUGGCGGCAUGCCUUACACAUGCAAGUCGAACGGCAGCACGGGGGCAACCCUGGUGGCGAGUGGCGAACGGGUGAGUAAUGCAUCGGAACGUGCCCAGUAGUGGGGGAUAACCCGGCGAAAGCCGGGCUAAUACCGCAUACGACCUAAGGGUGAAAGCGGGGGACCGUAAGGCCUCGCGCUAUUGGAGCGGCCGAUGUCUGAUUAGCUAGUUGGCGGGGUAAAAGCCCACCAAGGCGACGAUCAGUAGCUGGUCUGAGAGGACGACCAGCCACACUGGGACUGAGACACGGCCCAGACUCCUACGGGAGGCAGCAGUGGGGAAUUUUGGACAAUGGGCGCAAGCCUGAUCCAGCCAUACCGCGUGGGUGAAGAAGGCCUUCGGGUUGUAAAGCCCUUUUGUUGGGAAAGAAAUCCUGUCGAUUAAUACUCGGUGGGGAUGACGGUACCCAAAGAAUAAGCACCGGCUAACUUCGUGCCAGCCGCCGCCGUAACAC